rnacentral:lncRNA from 1 species
CCACAAAAACUAUAGAAAGUAAAAGAUCACUUACUCUAUGGCCAAAGAAACGAGUACUAGUAUUAUGAGCAUUUUCAUUUUGUUGGUCGUAGUGACAACAACAGUAGAAGGACUAACCCCAGGCCCUUGUUGUCGUCCCCCUGUGUUUUAUUGUUGCCCUUUCAAGGGGAGUGGAAUUCAUAACAUUCCUUUGCCGCCCAAGAAAUCCAACAAUUUACAUCCCUCUAUUAACAAGUUUUUCCCGCACAUAGAAAAUCAGCUAAAACAUCCUUGAUCAUAUCUUGCUUGAUUGAGUGUCGAGUUAAGGUUACUACGUUUUGCUUCUGGAAUAAGGUUAUAUAUGGAGCUGGAUAUUUGAUUUGAUGUAACCUCAUUAAUAACAAAUCUAAUAUUAUUCAAAUUUAAGUUUCUUCCUUUAUAUAUUCCAAUUCUCAUGCUUUAUAUUUAAAAUGAUGGUCUUAUUAUAUCUUUAUCUCAAGGUAGUAUCAAUCAAAGUGAUGCAUUCUCUAACACUCUGUUUAGAUCAUUGUUCCCCGUCCUUUUAUAAUGUAUUUUAUUGUAUCUUUAGUAAACUUUCAACAUAAUAGCCUAGAUAUUAUUUUGCAAAUCUAUAGCCCAAAAAUAAUAGGCUAAUUCCCGAGAGACAGCUUAUUUUACACAAUCAACUACGGUUAUUACUCUCUCUUUAUACAACAAGUUAUUUUCAUACACUAUUAUGUGCAAUUGCUGAAGCACUCCAACAGA